ACGGUUUUAGUAACACGUGGAUAACCUGCCCUAAGGUGGAGGAUAACCCCGGGAAACUGGGGAUAAUACUCCAUAGGCUAAAGAUACUGGAAUGUUCUUUAGCCGAAAGUUCCGGCGCCUUAGGAUGGAUCUGCGGCCGAUUAGGUAGUUGUUGGGGUAAUGGCCCAACAAGCCUGUAAUCGGUACGGGUUGUGGGAGCAAGAGCCCGGAGAUGGAAUCUGAGACACGAUUCCAGGCCCUACGGGGCGCAGCAGGCGCGGAAACUUUACAAUGCAGGAAACUGUGAUAAGGGAACCCCGAGUGCCCGUAUAUGCGGGCUGUCCGGAUGUUUAAAACGCAUCCGAAGAAAGGGCCGGGCAAGACCGGUGCCAGCCGCCGCGGUAAUACCGGCGGCUCGAGUGGUGGCCACUUUUAUUGGGCUUAAGGCGUUCGUAGCUUGAGUAAUAAGUCUCUUGGGAAAUCUGCAGGUUUAACCUGCAGGCGUUUAAGAGAAACUGUUAUUCUAGGAACCGGAAGAGGUGAGAGGUACUCCGGGGGUAGGAGUGAAAUCCUGUAAUCCCCGGGGGACCACCGAUGGCGAAGGCAUCUCACCAGGACGGCUUCGACAGUGAGGAACGAAAGCUGGGGGAGCGAACCGGAUUAGAUAUCCGGGUAGUCCCAGCCGUAAACGAUGUGCGUUAGGUGUGCCGGUGACCAUGAGUCACUGGGGUGCCGAAGGGAAACCGUGAAACGUACCGCCUGGGAAGUACGGUCGCAAGGCUGAAACUUAAAGGAAUUGGCGGGGGAGCAC
rnacentral:rRNA from 1 species